CGCUCAGUUGGCCUAAUAGUUAGAGCAUCCGCCUCCAGUGCGGAGUUCGCAGGUUUGAAUCCCGGCUGAGUCA